AGUGAACGCUGGCGGUAGGCCUAACACAUGCAAGUCGAACGGCAGCACAGUAAGAGCUUGCUCUUACGGGUGGCGAGUGGAGGACGGGUGAGGAAUACAUCGGAAUCUACUUUUUCGUGGGGGAUAACGUAGGGAAACUUACGCUAAUACCGCAUACGACCUACGGGUGAAAGCAGGGGAUCUUCGGACCUUGUGCGAUUGAAUGAGCCGAUGUCGGAUUAGCUAGUUGGCGGGGUAAAGGCCCACCAAGGCGACGAUCCGUAGCUGGUCUGAGAGGAUGAUCAGCCGCACUGGAACUGAGACACGGUCCAGACUCCUACGGGAGGCAGCAGUGGGGAAUAUUGGACAAUGGGCGCAAGCCUGAUCCAGCCAUACCGCGUGGGUGAAGAAGGCCUUCGGGUUGUAAAGCCCUUUUGUUGGGAAAGAAAAGCAGCAGGUUAAUACCCCGCUGUUCUGACGGUACCCAAAGAAUAAGCACCGGCUAACUUCGUG
rnacentral:rRNA from 1 species